ACAAGAAGAGGAUAUGUUACAACAGUAGCCCCAAGCUUUGCCAAAGCUCCAAGAAGAAAUAUCUCCAAAGCAGUGACCCUGUUACCACCCUUCUUACUCAAGGCGCGUUGUUUCUUGAGCUUCUUCAACAUGAUUUCAUAAAGCAUGAAUUGUAUGGAAGGAUUACUUACCAUGAUCAAUGUUGGGAAUACGCCUUNNNNNNAACUCCAGCUUCAUCAUAGACUUCUUGAAUUGCAUGAUUAGUUCCAUAUGGAGGAGGCUCAAUUGCAUCUAGAACAGUUUCGUCUGUGGCAACUGACAAUGAGCUACUUGGCUGGGAUUUCUUUGACACUUUUGUAUGAGUCUGCAUUCGUGCAACAACUACCCAAAUGGGAUUUGUCAGCAGCACAUUUACACAGCCAGACAAGGCAGCCACAACAAGUGAUGAGAACAUCCCGACUGUUCCAUCACCAAAUCCUUUUCUCUUACGUUCAAAUGCAAUAGCUUCAGCUCUGUCCCUGAAUAUUUGAUAGAAAUAAUA
rnacentral:misc_RNA from 1 species